GGGAGUUGGGUUCUGUGAGGGAGAGGGGAUAGGAACAGGGAUCUAUUGCCGCCAUCGGGGAGGAAGGGAGAGAUGGGUCUAGGUCUAGAGGCAAGGGCUGGGAAUGGGUUUGGGUCUUGGCUGGGAUGGGUCUCGGUUGGGGGUGGAUCUCACGUGGGGAUAGGGUGGUUGUAUGGUGGCGUUGGGCUUAGAGGGAUAGGGCAAGGGGAUGGGUCUCGG
rnacentral:lncRNA from 1 species